UGGAAGGAUAGCGAAGAGGCUAAACGCGGCGGACUGUAAAUCCGCUCCUUCGGGUUCGGGGGUUCGAAUCCCUCCCCUUNNNN
rnacentral:tRNA from 1 species